rnacentral:rRNA from 1 species
UACGUAGGGGGCGAGCGUUGUCCGGAUUUAUUGGGCGUAAAGAGCGUGUAGGCGGCCAGGUAGGUGGGUUGUGAAAACUGGAGGCUCAACCUUCAGACGUCGACCCAAACCCCUUGGCUAGAGUCCGGAAGAGGAGAGUGGAAUUCCUGGUGUAGCGGUGAAAUGCGCAGAUAUCAGGAGGAACACCCGUGGCGAAAGGCGGCUCUCUGGGGACGGUACUGACGCUGAGACGCGAAAGCGUGGGGGAGCAAACAGGAUUAG